UACGAAGGGGGCUAGCGUUGCUCGGAUUUACUGGGCGUAAAGGGCGCGUAGGCGGCUUCUUAAGUUAGAGGUGAAAUCCUGGAGCUCAACUCCAGAACUGCCUUUAAUACUGGCAAUCUAGAGUCCGGAAGAGGUGAGUGGAACUCCUAGUGUAGAGGUGGAAUUCGUAGAUAUUAGGAAGAACACCAGUGGCGAAGGCGACUCACUGGUCCGGUACUGACGCUGAGGUGCGAAAGCGUGGGGAGCAAACAGG
rnacentral:misc_RNA from 1 species